AUACGUAGGUGGCAAGCGUUGUCCGGAAUUACUGGGUGUAAAGGGAGCGCAGGCGGGAGCGCAAGUUGGAUGUGAAAUACCGCAGCUUAACUGCGGAGCUGCAUCCAAAACUGUGUUUCUUGAGUGAAGUAGAGGUAGGCGGAAUUCCGAGUGUAGCGGUGAAAUGCGUAGAUAUUCGGAGGAACACCGGUGGCGAAGGCGGCCUACUGGGCUUUUACUGACGCUGAGGCUCGAGAGUGUGGGGAGC
rnacentral:rRNA from 1 species